rnacentral:rRNA from 1 species
ACGAAGGGGGCUAGCGUUGCUCGGAAUUACUGGGCGUAAAGGGCGCGUAGGCGGAUAGUUUAGUUGGGGGUGAAAGCCCGGGGCUCAACCUCGGAAUUGCCUUCAAUACUGGCUAUCUUGAGUGUGAGAGAGGUGUGUGGAACUCCGAGUGUAGAGGUGAAAUUCGUAGAUAUUCGGAAGAACACCAGUGGCGAAGGCGACACACUGGCUCACUACUGACGCUGAGGCGCGAAAGCGUGGGGAGCAAACAGGA